rnacentral:rRNA from 2 species
CGUACCUAACCUACCUUUUGGACCGGGAUAACCAUUGGAAACAGCGGCUAAUACCGGAUAUAAUAAAAAAAUGCAUGUUUUUUUAUCAAAAGAAGCCUUUAAAGCUUCACCAAAAAAUGGGGGUGCGCAACAUUAGUUAGUUGGUAGGGUAAAGGCCUACCAAGACGAUGAUGUUUAGCGGGGCCAAGAGGCUGUACCGCCACACUGGGAUUGAGAUACGGCCCAGACUCCUACGGGAGGCAGCAGUAAGGAAUAUUCCACAAUGAGCGAAAGCUUGAUGGAGCGACACAGAGUGCAGGAUGAAGUCUUUAGGGAUGUAAACUGCUGUUGUAAGGGAAGAAAAAACUAGAUAGGAAAUGAUUUAGUCUUGACGGUACCUUAUUAGAAAGUGACGGCAAACUAUGUGCCAGCAGCCGCGGUAAUACAUAGGUCGCAAGCGUUAUCCGGAAUUAUUGGGCGUAAAGCGUCCGCAGGUUUUUUGUUAAGUUUAAGGUUAAAUGCUAAAGCUCAACUUUAGUUCGCUUUAGAUACUGACAAAAUAGAAUUAUGAAGAGGUUAGCGGAAUUCCUAGUGGAGCGGUGGAAUGCGUAGAUAUUAGGAAGAACACCAAUAGGCGAAGGCAGCUAACUGGUCAUAUAUUGACACUAAUGGACGAAAGCGUGGGAGCAAACAGGAUUAGAUACCCUGGUAGUCCACGCCGUAAACGAUGAUCAUUAGUUGGUGGCAAAAGUCACUAGCACAGCUAACGCGUUAAAUGAUCCGCCUGAGUAGUAUGCUCGCAAGAGUGAAACUUAAAGGAAUUGACGGGAACCCGCACAAGCGGUGGAGCAUGUGGUUUAAUUUGAAGAUACGCGUAGAACCUUACCCACUCUUGACAUCCUCGCAAAACUAUAGAGAUAUAGCGGAGGCUAACGAGAUGACAGAUGGUGCAUGGUUGUCGUCAGCUCGUGUCGUGAGAUGUUAGGUUAAGUCCUGCAACGAGCGCAACCCUUUUCUUUAGUUGCUAACAUUAAGUUGAGAACCCUAGAGAUACUGCCGGUGCAAACCGGAGGAAGGCGGGGAUGACGUCAAAUCAUCAUGCCUCUUACGAGUGGGGCAACACACGUGCUACAAUGGCUACUACAAAGAGCAGCGAAACAGUGAUGUCA